CGGGAUGUAGCGCAACGGCAGCGCGCCAGUCUGGGGGGCUGGAGGGUGCGGGUUCGAGUCCCGCCGUCCCGACCA
rnacentral:tRNA from 1 species